rfam:Arabidopsis lyrata subsp. lyrata unplaced genomic scaffold ARALYscaffold_2, whole genome shotgun sequence.
AAGAGCCAUUGAUGAUUGAAAAAGACUGUCCACAUUGUUUGAUUCACCACUAAUAUGAAUUCUUUAAUUAGUCUGAGGCUCGU